rnacentral:rRNA from 1 species
GCRGCAGGCACGCAAUUACCCACUCCCGGCACGGGGAGGUAGUGACAAAAAAUAACGAUACGGGACUCAUAUGAGGCCCCGUAAUCGGAAUGAGUACACUUUAAAUCCUUUAACAAGGAUCCAUUGGAGGGCAAGUCUGGUGCCAGCAGCCGCGGUAAUUCCAGCUCCAAUAGCGUAUAUUAAAGUUGUUGCGGUUAAAAAGCUCGUAGUUGGUUCUGCGUGCUACGCUGUCGGUUCGCCGCCUGCCGGUGUAACUGGCAUGCCGUGGCAUGUCCUGUCGGUGGUGUGCGGGAGCCUUGUCUAGGUGAUGGCCCGAGCCACAAACUCGGUGUCGUAGGCCGGAGGUCCACCCCGUGCGCCUACUCUAUCCUACCUAGGUGCUCUUUACCGAGUGUCGAGGUAGGCCGACACGUUUACUUUGAACAAAUUAGAGUGCUCAAAGCAGGCUGAAAUCUCUGCCUGAAUAGUGGUGCAUGGAAUAAUAAAACAGGACCUUGGUUCUAUUUUGUUGGUUCUUAAGAACACAAGGUAAUGAUCAAUACGGACAGGCGGGGGCAUUCGUAUUGCGACGUUAGAGGUGAAAUUCUUGGAUCGUCGCAAGACGCACAAGAGCGAAAGCAUUUGCCAAGUAUGUCUUGAUUGAUCAAGAACGAAAGUUAGAGGUUCGAAGGCGAUCAGAUACCGCCCUAGUUCUAACCAUAAACGAUGCCAGCCAGCGAUCCGCCGAUGUUCCUCCGAUGACUCGGCGGGGAGCUUCUUCCCGGGAAACCAAAGCUUUUGGGUUCCGGGGGAAGUAUGGUUGCAAAGCUGAAACUUAAAGGAAUUGACGGAAGGGCACCACCAGGAGUGGAGCCUGCGGCUUAAUUUGACUCAACACGGGAAACCUCACCAGGCCAGGACAUUGGAAGGAUUGACAGAUUGAUAGCUCUUUCUUGAUUCAGUGGGUAGUGGUGCAUGGCCGUUCUUAGUUGGUGGAUCGAUUUGUCUGGUUAAUUCCGAUAACGAACGAGACUCUAGCCUAUUAACUAGGCGUUUUCCGGUGUCCUCGCCACCGGCGACACUCAUUCUUCUUAAGGGGACAGGCGGCUUAUAGCCGCACGAGAUUGAGCAAUAACAGGUCUGUGAUGCCCUUAGAUGUCCUGGGCCGCACGCGCGCUACACUGAAGGAAUCAGCGUGUGCCUCCCUGGCCGAAAGGCCCGGGUAAUCCGCUGAAACUCCUGCGUGCUAGGAAUUGGGGCUUGCAAUUGUUCCCCAUGAACGAGGAAUUCCCAGUAAGCGCGAGUCAUAAGCUCGCGUUGAUUACGUCCCUGCCCUUUGUACACACCGCCCGUCGCUACUACCGAUUGAAUGAUUUAGUGAGGUCUUCGGACUGGCGGUAAUCCCUAUCGACUUGUCGGUAUCG